UAGGGAAUAUUGCGCAAUGGGCGAAAGCCUGACGCAGCAACGCCGCGUGGGGGAUGACUGCCUUCGGGUUGUAAACCCCUUUCAGCAGGGACGAAAUUGACGGUACCUGCAGAAGAAGCCCCGGCCAACUACGUGCCAGCAGCCGCGGUAAUACGUAGGGGGCGAGCGUUGUCCGGAAUUAUUGGGCGUAAAGAGCUCGUAGGCGGCUAAGCAAGUCGGGUGGGAAAUCUCCAGGCUCAACCUGGAGCCUUCGCUCGAUACUGCUUUAGCUCGAGUCCGGUAGGGGAGUGUGGAAUUCCCGGUGUAGCGGUGAAAUGCGCAGAUAUCGGGAGGAACACCGGCGGCGAAGGCGGCACUCUGGGCCGGUACUGACGCUGAGGAGCGAAAGCGUGGGGAGCAAACAGGAUUAGAUACCCCCGUAGUCC
rnacentral:rRNA from 1 species